rnacentral:rRNA from 1 species
UACAGAGACUGCAAGCGUUAUUCGGAUUCACUGGGCGUAAAGCGUGCGCAGGCGGUUAUGCAAGACAGAUGUGAAAUCCCCGGGCUCAACCUGGGAACUGCAUUUGUGACUGCAUAGCUAGAGUACGGUAGAGGGGGAUGGAAUUCCGCGUGUAGCAGUGAAAUGCGUAGAUAUGCGGAGGAACACCGAUGGCGAAGGCAAUCCCCUGGACCUGUACUGACGCUCAUGCACGAAAGCGUGGGGAGCAAACAGG